CAGACAUGCUGAUGGUGUCAUGGUGGUGAGGGUGUACACAUACUGAUAGUGACGGAGUUAGUAAGAUGUGGUGGGUAUGGUGUUGUAUGGUGAUAGUAAUGAUAGUGGUGCCUAGUGAUGUUAUGGUGAUAAUGUAUAGUGAUGGUAACUGCAGUGUAAUGAUUUCAGAACUUACAAUAGUGAUAGUGGUGAUGAGCAAAGCGUCUCUGAACAACUACAGUGGUGAUGGUGACUGUGGAUAUUGGUGUAGAGAGUGGAGAAACACACUUGAGAACCGUGCUAAGUACCUCUGGCCUUAGCCGUGGCGAGAGAGAGAGAGAGAGACAGCAAAGCGUUUCAGAAGACGAGAGAGAAAGAGACACGAACUUAAGAAAACAAGGUCAUUUGCAAAGUGCGAGGCCGGCCAGCAACCCGCCCGCCCAACCCCACC